UGUUCCCCCCUCCCUCUGCUAUUCAGUAAGAAGAUGCAAACAGCGAGUUACCUGAACUACGCGAAGGGAAGGCUUUUUUAUUCGGGCCCUAGACUCACCUGUCUCUCUCUAACCCCCUCCCCCCUUGCCUUAAUUGAAUUUGGCUUCGCGGCGCCUGAAUCAAUCAAAACGCUUCUUUCUUUGAUUCCUCCUAUUUGGGCGAGAGG
rnacentral:lncRNA from 1 species